GUCAUGGGGAAACGCCGCUACCUCGCUUUCACUUGGUGGCCAUAGAUUUCGAUAUCCCAUGUGAUGUGACGUAGUGGUACCUUCCCUUGG
rfam:Culex pipiens quinquefasciatus supercont3.315 genomic scaffold, whole genome shotgun sequence.